UUGGUUUGAUAUAGUAUAUUCGCAAUUUUAGAUUGCAUCCGCUGUUUAUCUUGUUCUUGCUUGUUCUUCGAUUGCUUGCAGGAACAAAGACCUUCGUGGUCAGGUUGAUCGUGCCCCCGCGUGAUCAAUAACCCUUUGGAGUUGGUGUAUCGAUUGCUAAGGCGCUGCCUCCUAGGCCGUAGUCGGAUCGUCAACGUCACCUCCUACCCAAAUCGAGAGUUACCAAUCUCAUCGAAAGAUCGGGCCACCCGCACCCGUAUCAUAUGUCAUCCAUCUUUAUACAUCUCCUUUCUUGCACAAUUAAUCUUUUAUAACAAAGUCUCAUGAGAUAAUUAGUAAAACAAUCAUGAUGAAUAACAUUCCAGCAAGAAGAUUGACAAUAUUGUUUGCAUUUAUAAGCGAAACGAUUUCUUGUAUUUGGUUUGCACCGCUCACCAUUACACCAUCCCAACAUUGGAGAAUAAUAAUGAAUAGUAUCCAAAUUAGUUACUACAAUAUGGUUAAAUUUAGAGCAAGUCAAAGCACUAAUAUUCAAACAAGCAUGUAAAUAACUAUUUGGCAAAUAAUCAACACCUAUAUUGGAGGUCCUAUCAAAAUGAUGAAGCAUGUGCAAAAAUUUCUUUUCUCCCAAGAGAGGAAAAUUAUCAUAAGUAAUGCAAAUCUCAUGCACCAAAAUGUUAUUGUUCACAUCAUGUUGUCCAAUUAAAUGAAUUGUGUAUCCAUGAAUAGCAAAAGAUUUCGAAAUUGUUAUCUCACACAGUUUAUCCAUUGCAUGCGACAAAUACAUGGGACUAUCAAGUGCAAUAUAACACAAAGAAUUAGUAGGUGGAUCGUUCUCAAUCACUCCAUGUGUAAUUAAGUCGACACAACCUAAACCAAAUUUAUCUACAUCACAUGUUUCUCCCAAAACAUUAGUUAUGUCCUCACAUGAUUCAUUCUCAUCAAUAUCAAAAUUAAUAUGUGCACUCAAAUCAUUAGAAAAAUUAAUUUCAGCAGUAGGUGCACUCAAAUCAGCAUGUAAAUCAACAAUUUCACAUGGUGCAGAAAAUUCAACGGGUAUCUCAUUUAUUUCAUCACAUGUCAUAUUUUGUUCAGCAACACAAUCAUCUUUAUCAUUACCUUGUAGGCUCAACACGUUUCUUGUACACCUUCUCUCCAAUUUCCCUAAUUGUUGGUGUAUCUAAUAACAAUUAUAAUCAGGUGAAUUCAAUUACAAAAUGUUUUCAAUAUGUUACUUGCAAUGAGGCGGAGCUACUAUCUUGUGUAAUGUUAUUAUGUAGGCAUCUUAAUGAACUUUACAAAUCCAAAGUGAAGAUGAAGUGUGAUAGCCUGCAAAGGAAGAUUCAAAGUGAAGCCUAUCAAGUCUACUUUCCAACAAAUCAAACGGCACAUGAUUCGGAGCUUGCUAGAGAAAGAUAUCACGAAUUAAAGUUGAAUCCGAUUCGGGUCCGAGCUGCCGGGAGACCCGAAUUUGUUUUAAUCACCCAGGCCGCAUCCGGAGUCCAAAUCAAGCAAACAAGUACUUGUUGGAAAGGUAAUUAGAAGACCUUUCCAAAGGAUCUGGCCCCAUCAAGAGAUUCGACUCGUGCUGACCGUAACGGACAAAACAAGCUGACGGAUCUGUUUUUCUGUUUCCUAAAGAGUUGUAGUUUGUUAGGGAAGUUAGAGAUAGAGUUGGAUUUCGGCCUCCUUACUCAAGGUGGACGAAAAUAUCUCUCCCUCCUCCUAUUUAUAGCCCAUGAGCCCCCCUAUGGAGCCUUGGGUUUUGAUUAGAUAAAAUUUAGCCAUCUUUGCUACUUUCGUGUAAUCGCGUGUGUCGGUUAGACCACCUGUUUUACCGUCGUCAAGACUCCAACUUAUCGUCUCGUUGAGACAUUGGUUUGAUUUAGUAUAUUCGCAAUUUUAGAUUGCAUCUGCUAUUUAUCUUGUACUUGCUUAUUCUUCGAUUGCUUGCAGGAACAAAGACCUUCGUGGUCAGGUUGAUCGUGCCCCCGCGUGAUCAAUAACCCUCUGGAGUUGGUGUAUCGAUAGCUAAGGCGCUGCCUCCUAGGCCGUAGUCGGAUCGUCAACCUCACCUCCUACCCAAAUCAAGAGUUAUCAGUCUCAUCGAAAGAUCGGGCCACCCGCACCCGUAUCACGUGGUAUCAGAGCUUAAGGUUGCUCGGUGAGAUUUUUCCAGUUUAUCCGUAGUUUAGAUCUGUUUUUACCUAUCGUCCAGAAAAAGCCAAAUAAAAAUUAGAAUUAGUUACCUUGUCCUAGAACCAAUCUCAGCCUUGCAAUUUUCACUUUAGUAUUUGCAUUGUUGAAUCUUUGCUGCAUUAAUCGUGUCGAAUUGCUGGAUUAGAUUGGAUCGUUUUUCAGAUUUUUUCUACUAGAUCAAACUUGCUUUUGGUUUUCUUGUUCUUCGUGUGACGCAGGUUUCCUUCAUCAAUCUUCCGCCGCCAAACUUCCUGACACACCACUGCCAUAAUCUCCCGCCGCCGCCAUAUCUUCCACCGAGUCCCUCUUCGAGUCCUACACCGAGUCCCUCUUCGAGUCCUACACCGAGUCCCUCGUCGAGUCCUACACCGAGUCCCUCUUCGAGUUCUACAUCGAGUCGGCAAGUAAUAGUUUUCAGCCGCAAGUUCGAAUCCGAGUCCAAUAAGGAGUGCUUUUGGAAAGUGUUUCAUCAUAGAUCGAACUUUGUUUAGAGAUCAAGUUGUUUGGAAAGUUGAAAAAAAAAAGAAAGGAAAGAAAAAAAAAGGAAAGAAAGAAAGAAAAAAAAGGAAAAAAAAAAGAGAAAGAGUUCGAGUCAAUUUCGGACCCGAGUCCGAGUAGAAUUUUAGUUUCGGGUGGGUUUGACCCGUGUUCAGUAAAACGGGCGUAUCUUUUGCGUAUUAACUCGGAUUUGGACGCUCUUCAACUUUUUGGAAAGCUCACGACGAGGCGCAUCAGGAAAUAUUCAGGGCUUUGCCCUGCACUUUGACCCUCAAAUUCGGUUUGUAAGGUGGACUUUUCGAGCUUCCAAGUUUCUGCAUCCGUUUUCCGGCGUCGCUGCAGCCCGGUGUUUCUCAGUUUUCUCCACCGUCCGACAUCCGUUUUGAGUGAUCUUGCCCUUGCUGGAAAGCUUGUGUCGAUACCCUUCUAACCUAUAUUUUUCCAUAUUUUUCUUACUGCAGCCUUUGCUGUUUUUCGACAGACCGACGUAUAGUUUUCCGGUCCUUCUUUUGCGUGAGUUUCUGGGGUUAAAAAAGAAAAAAGAAAAAAAAGAAGAAGAAAAGAAUAAGAAGCCAAAUAGAAGGCCACAAAAAGAAAAAAAAAGAAAAAAAAAUCCCAGGGAUUUACUUGUUGUGCCAUCUUUUGAUCUAUCUAUUCCUACCUUUUUCAGUAUCUAGGCUUAGAUUAUUUCUGUAAUUUGUUCUUAUCGACUCCAGCAGCUAGGACUAGCAUUAUUGAGCAUAUUUUCAACUUUGCAUUGCUGAUUUGAUUGUUUGCUAUUCUUUGCUACUCACAAAAGCCUCCAAGCUCCACAGAUUCUACACCUAGGUUGGUUUGUUACCGAGGCAUCGAUACAUUUAAUCUUCGGUGGGCUUGGUUACGCCGCUGGCCAUCACCUUCCUGUUUUGCAUGGUAAGAACUCGUAAGAACUUGAUUUUUAGCUUGAGAGUUGAGUGACUUGUAGCCACAUCCUAGUAGUUGAUAGGAACAUAUUACUAUGAUUUGUUUCUUGUUUUCUACUAACCAUGACAGGACUUACACGAAGCAUGGCAACUAGACCGAUGCUAUUCCGUGACUGUGAUGAGUGCUUUUCACCCUGGCCAUCCUCCACGUCUCUUGUUGAUAAUGCCACGGCAACGGUACAAAACACUCCUUCUAAUACAAUUAAAUUGUGUGUACCUUUCUUUGAGGGGAAAAAUGAUGCUAAAACGUAUAUAGAUUGGGAGCUAGCUUUAACUGCACAAUUCACAUGCUUCCAUGUACUUGAUAGUCGCAAGGUUCAAAUUGCUAGUAGUAAAUUUACUUUUGCUGCUUUAUCUUGGUGGAAUGAGAUAGUUAGAGAAAAGAAAAUUCCCCACACUUGGGUUGAUAUGAAGAAAAUCAUGAGAGAAAAAUAUGUCCCUUUUAGUUAUGCUUUUAACUUGCGUUCAAAAUUACGACGUUUGGCACAAGAUGAUAAAACUGUUGAUGAUUACUACAAUGAGUUCCAAAUUAUAACCUUGCAAUUUGGUUUAGAUGAAACCGAACAAAGAAAAAUGGAUAGGUUUUAUUGUGGGCUUAACUUUGAUAUUUCUUACAUGAUUGAAUAUGGAAAAUACGACUCUCUUUUGUGUUUGCUUAAUCUUGCUCGUCAAGUUGAGAGGACAUUACAGCGAGGGUCUACUACAAAUGAGUCGAGCCCACAAGGUAGUGAUACAGAGGAUUGUGUUGCUGAACUAAAAAGGGCAUGUGAUGAAAUACAUGUGAUACCUGUUGAAUUUUCGGCACCAUGUGAAAUUAUUGUUGUACAUGGUGAUUCAAGUGCACCUACUGCUGAAAUUAAUUCUUCUAAUGAUUUGAGUGCACAAAUUAAUUUUGAUAUUGAUGAGAACGAAUCAUGUGAGGAAAUAACUAAUGUUUUGGGAGAAACAAGUGAGAUAGAUAAAUUUGAUUUAGGUUGUGUCGAGUUGAUUAGACAUGGAGUGAUUGAUAAGGAUCCACCUAUUAAUUCUUUGUGUUAUAUUACACUUGAUACACCUAUAUAUUUGUCACAUGCAAUGGAUAAAUUUUCUGAGUUAACAAUUUCAAAAUCUUUUGCUAAUGCCCAUGGAUACACUAUUCAAUUAAUUGGAGAACAUGGUGUCAACAAUAAAGUUUUGGUUCAUCAGAUUUGCAUUGCUUGUGAUAACUUUCUUGAUUUGAGAGACAACAAUAUUUUGUGUAUGCUCAAUCAUUUUGAUAUGACCUCUAAUAUUGGUGAUAGUUGUACGACAAAUAACUUGUGGCAUGAUUGCACAUUGACGCAUAUUGUAGCUCGCCAUUUGGGAAUUUUGAAUUAUUGUUCACCUACAUUAGGAUGGUUUAAUGAUGAGAAUUACAAAUUAAAAUGUGAUACUUGCCGUUGGAAUAUGACUAUUAAUCUUUUGCACUAUUAUGAGUUUUAUUUACGUGAAACAUCGAAUGUGCAGCAUGGGAGUGGAGUUAAAAUUGAUGACAUAUACAUAUACCAUGCACACACUUUGUCUAUUUUGUCAGUCUCUUUUCAGCACAAACGACGCCGAGGACGGCUUUUCUUUCAAGAAAGGAAGGAUGAUAUGGACAUGAUCACAAUGGAUACGACCAUUAGAACCCUAAUUGUUGAUGUAUCUAAUAACAAUUAUAAUCAGGUGAAUUCAAUUACAAAAUGUUUUCAAUAUGUUACUUGCAAUGAGGCGGAGCUACUAUCUUGUGUAAUCUUAUUAUGUAGGCAUCUUAAUGAACUUUACAAAUCCAAAGUGAAGAUGAAGUGUGAUAGCCUGCAAAGGGAGAUUCAAAGUGAAGCCUAUCAAGUCUACUUUCCAACAAAUCAAACGGCACAUGAUUCGGAGCUUGCUAGAGAAAGAUAUCACGAAUUAAAGUUGAAUCCGAUUCGGGUCCGAGCUGCCAGGAGACCCGAAUUUGUUUUAAUCACCCAGGCCGCAUCCGGAGUCCAAAUCAAGCAAACAAGUACUUGUUGGAAAAGUAAUUAGAAGACCUUUCCAACGGAUCUGGCCCCAUCAAGAGAUUCGACUCGUGCUGACCGUAACGGACAAAACAAGCUGACGGAUUUGUUUUUCUGUUUCCUAAAGAGUUGUAGUUUGUUAGGGAAGUUAGAAAUAGAGUUGGAUUUCGGCCUCCUUACUCAAGGUGGACGAAAAUAUCUCUCCCUCCUCCUAUUUAUACCCCAUGAGCCCCCCUAUGGAGCCUUGGGUUUUGAUUAGAUAAAGUUUAGCCAUCGUUGCAACUUUCGUGUAAUCGCGUGUGUCGGUUAGACCACCUGUUUUACCGUCGUCAAGACUCCAACUAUAUUGAGUAUUCAGAUUCGUGAACCUUCAUAUCUCCUAUUCGCAAUUUCAGAUUGCUUUUCAUCUUGUUCUUGCUUGUUCUUCGAUUGCUUGCAGGAACAAAGUUUAGCACUGACCCCGAUUUGCCCGAAUUGUCCGUCCUAGUGAGGGACCAUGCGUAGCGAGUCCGUACAAGUUGUCUAGUCUUGUUUCGCUUCGAUGAGUAGCUUUGUUUGGUGUGCUCAUCCUUGGACCUCAAAUGGACACGUUCCGUAUCAAAGUUUAGCACCGACUCCGAUUUACCUGUAUUGUCCGUCCUAGUGAGGGACCAUGCCUAGCGAGUCCGUACAAGUGGUCUAGUCUUGUUUCGCUUUGAUGAGUAGCUUUGUUUGGUAUGCUCAUCCUAGGACCUCAAAUGGACACGUUUGGGAUCAAAGUUUAGCACCGACUCCGAUCUGCUCGAAUUGUCCGUCCUAGUGAGGGACCAUGCCUAGCGAGUCCGUACAAGUUGUCUAGUCUUGUUUGGCCUUGAUGAGUAGCUUUGUUUGGUGUGCUCAUCCUAGGAUCUCAAAUGGACACAUUCCGGAUCAAAGUUUACCAGCGACUCCGAUUUGGCCGGAUUGUCAUUCCGAGUGACCGACCAUGCCUAGCGACUCCAUACAAGUAGUCUAGUCUAUUUUCGCUUCGAUGAGUAGCUUUGUUUGGUGUGCUCAUCCUAGUACCUCACAUGGACACGUUCCGGAUCAAUGUUUAGCACCGACUCCGAUUUGGCCAGAUUGUCGGUCCUAGUGAGGGACCAUGCCUAUCGAGUCCCUACAAGUGGUCUAGUCUUGUUUCGCAUCGAUGAGUAGAUUUGUUUGCUGUGCUCAUCUAAUAACGCCAAACGGACCCAUUCCGGAUCAAAGUUUACCAUCGACUCCGAUUUGGCUGGAUUGUCUUUCCUUGUGACCGACCAUGCCUGGCGAGUCCCAACAAGUGGUCUACUCUUGUUUCGCUUCGAUGAGUAGCUUUGUUUGGUGUGCUCAUCCUAGUACCUCAAAUGGACACGUUCCGGCUCAACGUUUAGCACCGACUCCGAUUUGGCCACAUAGUCCGUCCUCGUGAGGGACCAUGCCUAGCGAGUCCGUACAAGUGGUCUAGUCUUGUUUCGCUUCGAUGAGUAGCUUUCUUUGGUGUUUUCAUCCUAGUACCUCUAAUGGACACGUUCCGGAUGAAAGUUUAGCACAGACUCUGAUUCGGCCGCAUUGUCCGUCCUAUUGAGGGACCAUGCCUAGCGAGUCCCUACAUGAGGUCUAGUCUUGUUUGGCUUCGAUGAGUAGCUUUGUUUGGUGUGCUCAUCCUAGGUCCUAAAAUGGACAUCUUCCUGAUCAAAGUUUAGCACCGACUCCGAUUUGCCCGAAUUGUCCGUCCUAGUGAGGGACCAUGCCUAGCGAGUACGUACAAGUGGUCUAGUCUUGUUUCGCUUCGAUGGGUAGCUUUGUUUCGUGUGCUCAUCCUAGUUCCUCAAAUGGACACGUUCCGGAUCAAAGUUUAGCACAGACUCCGAUUCGGCCGCAUUGUCCGUGCGUGUGAGGGACCAUGCCUAGCGAGUCCGUACAAGUGGUCUAGUCUUCUUUCGCUUCGAUGAGUAGCUUUGUUUGCUGUGCUCAUCCUAGGACCUCAAAUGGACACAUUCUGGAUCAAAAUUUAGGACCGACUCCGAUUUGCCCGAAUUGUCCGUCCUAGUGAGGUACCAUGCCUAGCGAGUCCGUACAAGUUGUCUAGUCUUGUUUGGCCUUGAUGAGGAGCUUUGUUUGGUCUGCUCAUCCUCGGACCUCAGAUGGCCACGUUCCGGAUCAAAGGUUAGCACCGACUCUGAUUUGGCCGGAUUGUCCGUCCUAGUGAGGGACCAUGCCUAGCGAGUCCCUACAAGUGGUCUAGUCUUGUUUCGCUUCGAUGGGUAGCUUUGUUUUGUGUGCUCAACCUAGUUCCUCAAAUGGACACGUUCCGGAUCAAAGUUUCGCACAAACUCCGAUUCGGCCGCAUUGUCGGUCCUUGUGAGGGACCAUGCCUAGCGAAUCCGUACAAGCGGUCUAGUCGUGUUUUGCUUCGAUGUGUAGCUUUGUUAGGUGUGCUCAUCCUACGACCUCAAAUGGACACGUUCUGGAUCAAAGUUUAGCACCGAUUCCGAUUUGCCCGAAUUGUCCGUCCUAGUGAGGUACCAUGCCUAGCGAGUCCGUACAAGUUGUCUAGUCUUGUUUCACUUCGAUGGGUAGCUUUGUUCAGUGCGCUCAUCCUAGUUCCUCAAAUGGACACGUUCCGGCUCAAAAAUUAGCACAGACUCCGAUUCGGCCGCAUUGUCCGUCCUAGUGAGGGACCAUGCCUAGCGAGUCCCUACAAGUGGUCUAGUCUUGUUUCGCUUCGAUGAGUAGAUUUGUUUUGUGUGCUCAUCUUAUAACGCCAAAAGGACCCGUUCCGGAUAAAAGGUUAGCACUGACUCCAAUUUGGCCGGAUUGUCUUUCCUAUUGACCGACCAUGCCUAGCGAGUCCGUACAAGUUGGUCUAGGCUUGUUUCGCUUCGAUGAGUAGUUUUCUUUGGUGUGCUCAUCCUAGUUCCUCAAAUGGACACGUUCCGGCUCAAAAAUUAGCACAGACUCCGAUUCGGCCGCAUUGUCCGUCCUAGUGAGGGACCAUGCCUAGCGAGUCCGUACAAGUGGUUUAGUGUUGUUUCGCUUCGAUGAGUAGCUUUGUUUGGUGUGCUCUUCUUAUAACGCCAAACGGACCCAUUCUGGAUCGAAGUUUACCACCGACUCCGAUUUGGCCGGAUUGUCCGUCCUAGUGAGGGACCAUGCCUAGCGAGUCCGUACAAGUGGUCUAGUCUUGUUUCGCUUCGAUGAGUAGCUUUGUUCGGUGUGCUCAUCCUAGGACCUCAAAUGGACACGUUCCGGAUCAAAGGUUAGCAACGACUCUGAUUUGGCCGGAUUGUCUUUCCUAUUGACCGACCAUGCCUAGCGAGUCCGUACAAGUUGGUCUAGGCUUGUUUCGCUUCGAUGAGUAGCUUUGUUUGGUGUGCUCAUCUUAUAACGCAAAAAGGACCCGUUCCGGAUAAAAGGUUAGCACGGACUCCGAUUUGGCCGGAUUGUCUUUCCUAUUGAGCGACCAUGCCUAGCGAGUCCGUACAAGUUGGUCUAGGCUUGUUUCGCUUCGAUGGGUAGUUUUCUUUGGUGUGCUCAUCCUAGUACCUCAAAUGGACACGUUCCGGAUCAAAGUUUAGCACCGACUCCGAUUCGGCCGAAUUGUCCGUCCUAGUGAGGGACCAUGCCUAGCGAGUCCGUACAAUGGGUUUAGUCUUGUUUCGCUUCGAUGACUAGCUUUGUUUGGUGUGCUCUUCUUAUAACGCCAAACAGACCCAUUCUGGAUCGAAGUUUAGCACCGACUCCGAUUCGGCCGGAUUAUCCGUCCUAGUGAGGGACCAUGCCUAGCGAGUCCGUACAAGUGGUUUAGUGUUGUUUCGCUUCGAUGAGUAGCUUUGUUUGGUGUGCUCUUCUUAUAACGCCAAACGGACCCAUUCUGGAUCGAAGUUUACCACCGACUCCGAUUUGGCCGGAUUGUCCGUCCUAGUGAGGGACCAUGCCUAGCGAGUCCGUACAAGUGGUCUAGUCUUGUUUCGCUUCGAUGAGUAGCUUUGUUCGGUGUGCUCAUCCUAGGACCUCAAAUGGACACGUUCCGGAUCAAAGGUUAGCAACGACUCUGAUUUGGCCGGAUUGUCUUUCCUAUUGACCGACCAUGCCUAGCGAGUCCGUACAAGUUGGUCUAGGCUUGUUUCGCUUCGAUGAGUAGCUUUGUUUGGUGUGCUCAUCUUAUAACGCAAAAAGGACCCGUUCCGGAUAAAAGGUUAGCACGGACUCCGAUUUGGCCGGAUUGUCUUUCCUAUUGAGCGACCAUGCCUAGCGAGUCCGUACAAGUUGGUCUAGGCUUGUUUCGCUUCGAUGGGUAGUUUUCUUUGGUGUGCUCAUCCUAGUACCUCAAAUGGACACGUUCCGGAUCAAAGUUUAGCACCGACUCCGAUUCGGCCGAAUUGUCCGUCCUAGUGAGGGACCAUGCCUAGCGAGUCCGUACAAUGGGUUUAGUCUUGUUUCGCUUCGAUGAGUAGCUUUGUUUGGUGUGCUCUUCUUAUAACGCCAAACAGACCCAUUCUGGAUCGAAGUUUAGCACCGACUCUGAUUUGGCGGAUUAUCCGUCCUACUGAGGGACCAUGCCUAGUGAGUCCGUACAAGUGGUUUAGUCUUGUUUCGCUUCGAUGAGUAGCUUUGUUUGGUGUGCUCUUCUUAUAACGCCAAACGGACCCAUUCUGGAUCGAAGUUUACCACCGACUCCGAUUUGGCCGGAUUGUCCGUCCUAGUGAGGGACCAUGCCUAGCGAGUCCGUACAAGUGGUCUAGUCUUGUUUCGCUUCGAUGAGUAGCUUUGUUUGGUGUGCUCAUCCUAGGACCUCAAAUGGACACGUUCCGGAUCAAAGGUUAGCACCGACUCUGAUUUGGCCGGAUUGUCUUUCCUAUUGACCGACCAUGCCUAGCGAGUCCGUACUAGUUGGUCUAGGCUUGUUUUGCUUCGAUGAGUAGCUUUGUUUGGUGUGCUCAUCUUAUAACGCCAAAAGGACCCGUUCCGGAUAAAAGGUUAGCACGGACUCCGAUUUGGCCGGAUUGUCUUUCGUAUUGAGCGACCAUGCCUAGCGAGUCCGUACAAGUUGGUCUAGGCUUGUUUCGCUUCGAUGGGUAGUUUUCUUUGGUGUGCUCAUCCUAGUACCUCAAAUGGACACGUUCCGGAUCAAAGUUUAGCACCGACUCCGAUUCGGCCGAAUUGUCCGUCCUAGUGAGGGACCAUGCCUAGCGAGUCCGUACAAUGGGUUUAGUCUUGUUUCGCUUCGAUGAGUAGCUUUGUUUGGUGUGCUCUUCUUAUAACGCCAAACAGACCCAUUCUGGAUCGAAGUUUAGCACCGACUCUGAUUUGGCCGGAUUAUCCGUCCUAGUGAGGGACCAUGCCUAGCGAGUCCGUACAAGUGGUUUAGUCUUGUUUCGCUUCGAUGAGUAGCUUUGUUUGGUGUGCUCUUCUUAUAACGCCAAACGGACCCAUUCUGGAUCGAAGUUUACCACCGACUCCGAUUUGGCCGGAUUGUCCGUCUUAGUGAGGGACCAUGCCUAGUGAGUCCGUACAAGUGGUCUAGUCUUGUUUCGCUUAGAUGAGUAGCUUUGUUUGGUGUGCUCAUCGUAGGACCUCAAAUGGACACGUUCCGUAUAGAAGUUUUGCGCCAACUCCGAUUUGCCCGAAUUGUCCGUCCUAGCGAGGGACCAUGCCUAGCGAAUCCGUACAAGUGGUCUAGUCUUGUUUCGCUUCGAGGAGUAUGUUUGUUUGGUGUGCUCAUCCUAGGACCUCAAAUGGACACGUUCCGGCUCAAAGGUUAGCACCGAUUCUAAUUUGGCCCGAUUGUCCGUCCUAGUGAGGAACCAUGCCUUGCGAGUCCGUACAAGUGGUCUAGUCUUGUUUCGCUUCGAUGGGUAGCUUUAUUCCGUGUGCUCAUCCUAGUUCCUCAAAUGGACACGUUCCGACUCAAAGGUUAGCACCGACUCUAAUUUGGCCCGAUUGUCCGUCCAUGUGAGGGACCAUGCCUUGCGAGUCCGUACAAGUGGUCUAGUCUUGUUUCGCUUCGAUGGGUAGCUUUGUUCCGUGUGCUCAUCCUAGUUCCUCAAAUGGACACGUUCCGGCUGAAAAUUUAGCACAGACUCCGAUUCGGCCGCAUUGUCCGUCCUAGUAAGAGACCAUCCCUAGCGAGUCCCUACAAGUGGUCUAGUCUUGUUGCGCUUCGAUGAGUAGCUUUGUUUGGUGUGCUCAUCGUAGGACCUCAAAUGGACACGUUCCGGAUCAAAGUUUAGCACCGACUCCGAUUUGCCCGAAUUGUCCGACCUAGUGAGGUACCAUUCCUAGCGAGUCCGUACAAGUUGUCUAGUCUUGUUUCGCUUCGGUGAGUAGCUUUGUUUGGUGUGCUCAUCCUAGGACCUGAAAUGGUCACGUUCCGGAUCAAAGGUUAGCACUGACUCUGAUUUGGCCGGAUUGUCCGUCCUAGUGAGGGACCAUGGCUGCAAGUCCGUACAAGUGGUCUAGUCUUGUUUCGCUUCGAUGGGUAGCUUUGAUAUUUCUUACAUGAUUGAAUAUGGAAAAUACGACUCUCUUUUGUGUUUGCUUAAUCUUGCUCGUAAAGUUGAGAGGAAAUUACAGCGAGGGUCUACUACAAAUGAGUCGAGCCCACAAGGUAGUGAUACAGAGGAUUGUGUUGCUGAACUAAAAAGGGCAUGUGAUGAAAUAAAUGUGAUACCUGUUGAAUUUUCUGCACCAUGUGAAAUUAUUGUCGUACAUGGUGAUUCAAGUGCACCUACUACUGAAAUUAAUUCUUCUAAUGGUUUGAGUGCACAAAUUGAUUUUGAUAUUGAUGAGAACGAAUCAUGUGAGGAAAUAACUAAUGUUUUGGGAGAAACAAGUGAGAUAGAUAAAUUUGAUUUAGGUUGUGUCGAGUUGAUUAGACAUGGAGUGAUUGAUAAGGAUCCACCUAUUAAUUCUUUGUGUUAUAUUACACUUGAUACACCUAUAUAUUUGUCACAUGCAAUGGAUAAAGUUUCUGAGUUAACAAUUUCAAAAUCUUUUGCUAAUGCCCAUGGAUACACUAUUCAAUUAAUUGGAGAACAUGAUGUCAACAAUAAAGUUUUGGUGCAUCAGAUUUGCAUUGCUUGUGAUAACUUUCUUGAUUUGAGAGACAACAAUAUUUUGUGUAUGCUCAAUCAUUUUGAUAUGACCUCUAAUAUUGGUGAUAGUUGUACGACAAAUAACUUAUGGCAUGAUUGCACAUUGACGCAUAUUGUAGCUCGCCAUUUGGGAAUUCUGAAUUAUUGUUCACCUACAUUAGGAUCGUUUAAUGAUGAGAAUUACAAAUUAAAAUGUGAUACUUGCUGUUGGAAUAUGACUAUUAAUUUUUUGCACUAUUAUGAGUUUUAUUUAGGUGAAACAUCGAAUGUGCAGCAUGGGAGUGGAGUUAAAAUUGAUGACAUAUACAUAUACCAUGCACACACUUUGUCUAUUUUGUCAGUCUCUUUUCAGCACAAACGACGCCGAGGACGGCUUUUCUUUCAAGAAAGGGAGGAUGAUAUGGACAUGAUCACCAUGGAUACGACCAUUAGAACCCUAAUUGUUGGUGUAUCUAAUAACAAUUAUAAUCAGGUGAAUUCAAUUACAAAAUGUUUUCAAUAUGUUACUUGCAAUGAGGCGGAGCUACUAUCUUGUGUAAUCUUAUUAUGUAGGCAUCUUAAUGAACUUUACAAAUCCAAAGUGAAGAUGAAGUGUGAUAGCCUGCAAAGGGAGAUUCAAAGUGAAGCCUAUCAAGUCUACUUUCCAAGAAAUCAAACGGCACAUGAUUCGGAGCUUGCUAGAGAAAGACAUCACGAAUCAAGUCUACUUUCGUGUAAUCGCGUGUGUCGGUUAGACCACCUGUUUUACCGUCAUCAAGACUCCAACUAUAUUGAGUAUUCAGAUUCGUGAACCUUCAUAUCUCCUAUUCGCAAUUUCAGAUUGCUUUUCAUCUUGUUCUUGCUUGUUCUUCGAUUGCUUGCAGGAACAAAGACCUUCGUGGUCAGGUUGAUCGUGCCCCCGCGGGAUCAAUAACCUUCUGGAGUUGGUGUAUCGAUCGCUAAGGCGCUGCCUCCUAGGUUGUAGUCGGAUCGUCAACGUCACCUCCUACCAAAUCGAUAAUUAGGUAUCUCAUCGAAAGAUCGGGACACCCUCGAGGCUAUCACGUGGUAUCAGAGCUUAAGGUUGCUCGGUGAGAUUUUUCCAGUUUAUCCGUAGUUUAGAUCUUUUUUUACCUAUCGUCCAGAAAAAGCCAAACAAAAAUUAGAAUUAGUUACCUUGUCCUAAAACCAAUCUGAGCCUUGCAAUUUUCACAUUAGUAUUUGCAUUGUUGAAUCUUUGCUGCAUUAAUCGUGUCGAGUUGCUGGAUUAGAUUGGAUCAUUUUUCAGAUUUUUUCUACUAGAUCAAACUUGCUUUUGGUUUUCUUGUUCUUCGUGUGACGCAGGUUUCCUUCAUCAAUCUUCCGCCUCCAAACUACCUGCCACACCACCGCCAUAAUCUUCCGCCGCCACCAUAUCUUCCACCAAGUCCCUCUUCGAGUCCUACACCGAGUCCAUCUUCCAGUCCUACACCGAGUCCUUCUUCCAGUCCUACACCGAGUCCCUCUUUGAGUCCUACAUCGAGUCGGGAAGUUAUAGUUUUCAGCCGCGAGUUCGAGUCCGAGUCCAAUCAAGAGUGCUUUUGGAAAGUGUUUCAUAAUAGAUCGAAUUUUGUUUAGAGAUCAAGUUGUUCGGAAAGUUGUGAAAAAAAAAGAAGGGAAAGAAA
rnacentral:lncRNA from 1 species